rnacentral:misc_RNA from 1 species
AAAAUUAGGAAAAAAAAAAAGUUCAGGAACCCAAAGUUUCAUAUCCCAUAAUAAACUUUAUCCUAGAAAUAAUUCUCCAAAAGCCCUUUCUUGCUUAUGCUUCGUUACACAGACCAAUGAUGUGUGUAAUAAGAAAAAGAACCACAUUAAGCUUACAAGAACAUGGGAGUUUGGUGGUGUUUAGUGCUGACACAGAACUUUUGCCCAAGUCAUUACCAUUACUAUUUAAAAGCUAAAUUAUAUUGUGAGAAGCCGCAAGGAACUAUUACCAGAAAUCCUCGAAAAGCUGUUU